CGGAGGGGCGUAGCGUUGUUCGGAAUUACUGGGCGUAAAGCGCACGUAGGCGGACUGGAAAGUUGGGGGUGAAAGUCCCGGGGCUCAACCUCGGAACUGCCUUCAAAACUAUCAGUCUGGAGUUCGAGAGAGGUGAGUGGAAUUCCGAGUGUAGAGGUGAAAUUCGUAGAUAUUCGGAGGAACACCAGUGGCGAAGGCGGCUCACUGGCUCGAUACUGACGCUGAGGUGCGAAAGCGUGGGGAGCAAACAGGAUU
rnacentral:rRNA from 1 species